CACUGAAACACCAGUUCCCAUACGAUCCCCAAAGUUAAGCAAUGUUGAACCAAGUCAGUACCUAGAUGGAUGACCACUUGAGAAUACCAAGUGCUGUGAG